AUUUCCACCCCUAACAGGAUCGAAUUGAAAUUCCAAUUCCAUCAUCAGCCUUGUUAUUUGAAACCCCUGAUUCUUCUGUCCAAGUUCAAUUGUUUGUAAGUUGAGGCGUUCGAAUCAGAGAUCGAUAGCAAUGUCGACCGUGGAGUCUCCGAGCGCUGUUAGAAAAGUGGUUGUUCAUCUGAGAGCUACUGGUGAUGCCCCUAUACUGAAGCAAGCCAAAUUUAAGAUUCUUGGAACUGACAAGUUUGCGAAAGUGAUUGAGUUUCUAAGAAGGCAACUUCACCGGGAUACGUUGUUUGUGUAUGUCAACAGUGCAUUCUCGCCAAACCCAGAUGAAUUGGUGAUUGAUCUCUAUAAUAAUUUUGGUUUUGAUGGUAAACUGGUGGUCAAUUAUGCUUGCUCCAUGGCAUGGGGCUGACACUCAUGUUUCGGCUGACAGUACCUAUUGAUAGUGUGAACACGAAAUUAUUCCUUCCGCACACAAGACAAGCAAAGGGAAGAUGAGUUGCUGUCCGUUGAAAAAAAAAUCGGACCAGGAGAUGAAGAUAUUUCAUGAUUUUGUCGCCCUAAUGCUUUCCCAUCUGUCCAAGAGUCCAAAAGAAGAAGAAAAAAAUUCCGAUGAUAGAAGGGAUUGACAAAUCCAGUCUGAUAUCGAGACAUGUCAGGUUUGGGAUAUAGCACGGGCUUCAUCUUCAUGGCGGUGGCAGAUAACUCAGUGGAGAGUGGAAGUUCUAAGAAAUUGACUGGAAGUUUUGUAGUUUUCCUUUGGUUUGGGAUAUAGGCGAAUUAUUCAGAGCCUAAAUGCGACACUAUUGUCAUUAGCUAAGUGGGCAUUAAGAACCGCUGCUUCUCUAUCAGUGGUGGACUUUAAUAUCCAAUAAUGACAAUCAAUCCUAUCAGCUGUGAACGAUUAAAUCUGUGUGCGCAGGAAUUAUCGACUAGUUUUUACUCUA